rnacentral:rRNA from 1 species
AAGCAGCGGAGCGUGUGUUUAAUUCGUUGCUACACGAAGAACCUUACCUGGGUUUGACAUAGUAGGUUGUAGGGAACUGAAAGGGACCGACCCUUCGGGGAGCCUAUACAGGUGUUGCAUGGCUGUCGUCAGCUCGUGUCGUGAGAUGUUCGGUUAAGUCCGCUAACGAGCGCAACCCUCGUCGUAUGUUAUAUGUGUCAUACGAGACUGCCGGUAAAAGCCGGAGGAAGGUGAGGAUGAUGUCAAGUCAGCAUGACCUUUAUAUCCAGGGCUACACACACGCUACAAUGGUCUGUACAAUGGGUAGCCAAGCCGCGAGGCGGAGCCAAUCCUGAAAGCAGGCCUCAGUUCAGAUUGCAGUCUGCAACUCGACUGCAUGAAGCCGGAGUUGCUAGUAACCGCAGGUCAGCAAUACUGCGGUGAAUACGUUCCCGGGUCUU